rnacentral:rRNA from 1 species
AGAGAUUGAACAUAAGAGUUUGAUCCUGGCUCAGAUUGAACGCUGGCGGCAUGCUUUACACAUGCAAGUCGGACGGCAGCACGGGGAAGCUUGCUUCUCGGGUGGCGAGUGGCGAACGGGUGAGUAACAUAUCGGAACGUACCGGGUAGCGGGGGAUAACUGAUCGAAAGAUCAGCUAAUACCGCAUACGUCUUGAGAGGGAAAGCAGGGGACCUUCGGGCCUUGCGCUAUCCGAGCGGCCGAUAUCUGAUUAGCUGGUUGGCGGGGUAAAGGCCCACCAAGGCGACGAUCAGUAGCGGGUCUGAGAGGAUGAUCCGCCACACUGGGACUGAGACACGGCCCAGACUCCUACGGGAGGCAGCAGUGGGGAAUUUUGGACAAUGGGCGCAAGCCUGAUCCAGCCAUGCCGCGUGUCUGAAGAAGGCCUUCGGGUUGUAAAGGACUUUUGUCAGGGAAGAAAAGGCCGUUGCCAAUAUCGGCGGCCGAUGACGGUACCUGAAGAAUAAGCACCGGCUAACUACGUGCCAGCAGCCGCGGUAAUACGUAGGGUGCGAGCGUUAAUCGGAAUUACUGGGCGUAAAGCGGGCGCAGACGGUUACUUAAGCAGGAUGUGAAAUCCCCGGGCUCAACCCGGGAACUGCGUUCUGAACUGGGUGACUCGAGUGUGUCAGAGGGAGGUGGAAUUCCACGUGUAGCAGUGAAAUGCGUAGAGAUGUGGAGGAAUACCGAUGGCGAAGGCAGCCUCCUGGGAUAACACUGACGUUCAUGUCCGAAAGCGUGGGUAGCAAACAGGAUUAGAUACCCUGGUAGUCCACGCCCUAAACGAUGUCAAUUAGCUGUUGGGCAACUUGAUUGCUUGGUAGCGUAGCUAACGCGUGAAAUUGACCGCCUGGGGAGUACGGUCGCAAGAUUAAAACUCAAAGGAAUUGACGGGGACCCGCACAAGCGGUGGAUGAUGUGGAUUAAUUCGAUGCAACGCGAAGAACCUUACCUGGUUUUGACAUGUGCGGAAUCCUCCGGAGACGGAGGAGUGCCUUCGGGAGCCGUAACACAGGUGCUGCAUGGCUGUCGUCAGCUCGUGUCGUGAGAUGUUGGGUUAAGUCCCGCAACGAGCGCAACCCUUGUCAUUAGUUGCCAUCAUUCGGUUGGGCACUCUAAUGAGACUGCCGGUGACAAGCCGGAGGAAGGUGGGGAUGACGUCAAGUCCUCAUGGCCCUUAUGACCAGGGCUUCACACGUCAUACAAUGGUCGGUACAGAGGGUAGCCAAGCCGCGAGGCGGAGCCAAUCUCACAAAACCGAUCGUAGUCCGGAUUGCACUCUGCAACUCGAGUGCAUGAAGUCGGAAUCGCUAGUAAUCGCAGGUCAGCAUACUGCGGUGAAUACGUUCCCGGGUCUUGUACACACCGCCCGUCACACCAUGGGAGUGGGGGAUACCAGAAGUAGGUAGGGUAACCGCAAGGAGUCCGCUUACCACGGUAUGCUUCAUGACUGGGGUGAAGUCGUAACAAGGUAGCCGUAGGGGAACCUGCGGCUGGAUCACCUCCUUUCUA